GUGCUCACUUUGGCAACACAUAUACUAAAACUAGAAUGAUACAGAGAAGAUUAGCAUAGUCCCUCUACAAGGAUGACACACAAAUUCAUGAAACGGUCCAUAUUUUU
ensembl:snRNA U6 U6 spliceosomal RNA